rnacentral:rRNA from 1 species
AGUGAACGCUGGCGGCAGGCCUAACACAUGCAAGUCGAACGGCAGCACAAGAGGGCUUGCUCUCUGGGUGGCGAGUGGCGGGCGGGUGAGGAAUGCAUCGGACUCUCCCCAUAUGUGGGGGAUAACCUCGGGAAACCGGGACUAAUACCGCAUACGACCUACAGGUGAAAGCAGGGGAGCUUCGGACCUUGCGCAUAUGGCUGAGCCGAUGCCGGAUUAGCUAGUUGGAGGGGUAAAGGCUAACCAAGGCGACGAUGCGUAGCUGGUCUGAGAGGAUGAUCAGCCACACUGGAACUGAGACACGGCCCAGACUCCUACGGGAGGCAGCAGUGGGGAAUAUUGGACAAUGGGCGCAAGCCUGAUCCAGCCAUGCCGCGUGUGUGAAGAAGGCCUUCGGGUUGUAAAGCACUGUUGUUGGGAAAGAAAAGCAGUCGGUUAAAACCCGGUUGUCAUGACGGUACCCAAAGAAUAAGCACCGGCUAACUUCGUG